GUAAAAUAACAAACAGGCAAAAACACCUGCAUGUGGCCCACGGGCUGUAGCUUGAGGACACCUGCUCUAGGGCGUAUGGGUGGUCGUGCAGGGCGCCCUGUCCCUUCCUUCUCUGUGCCCUAGGCAGGCUGGUGCGCGGGAGGGGCGGAGGCCGCUGCUGCGCGGGAGGCUGCUGGCUGCUGGCGAGAGGAGGGCGCUGAAUCCAAGCCCGAGCCUGGAAGGAAGAGCAGAAAUCCGCCUCGGCUGCGCCAGGGAAGGCAGGCGUGGGGCAGGCACAGGGGCCAGGAAGGCUGCGGGACUCAGACACAGUGGGGGGCCCAAGCCACCCCACCUAGGUCUGUCCCAUUGGCAGCUGCAGAAAAGUGAGUCCAGAGCUUGAGCAAGUGUCACCUCGCCUUCCGUCUAGACGCUCCCUUCCAGCGUCCUCUUCUGUAACUCAGCUGGGGACAGGAGAACUGGCCUUCUUGAAGCCACCGACCCCACUGCGAGCUUCCGCAUGCAAAGCCUUGGAGAUGGCCCAGCCCCUUCCUGCCAAGUGCACGCCAUGGCGGUGGCCAUGCCAGCCUGCCCCCGUUGCUCAUCCAGGGCCUCCUGCACAAGCCACCCUCUGGACCCCUGGGGACUUGGAGCAUCCUGCCACAAGACCCAAGCCCAGGCGGACCCUCCGUUCUUGCCUGCACCUGUGGAGAGGGAGCCCCACUGGACCGAGACAGAGCAGCCAGGCCCCCACAGACGCCGAGCCAUGGCAAGGGGGACUGGGCUCCGGGGCUGCCGGACAGAGCCGCACAGACAACAGACAUCUACUGUCUCAGUUCUGGAGGCUGGAAGUCCAAGGUCCUGGCUCAAGGGAUCCUCUCACCUCAGCCUCCCAAAGUGCUGGGGUUGAUUCCAAGCCUGAGCCGCGGCACCCAGCCUCGGCCCUUUGAACGUGCGGGCUUCACAUCCAGGCUGCUCUGCAACCCUGCCCAGCCCCAGGCCCAGGGCUGCGAACGGCACCUCUACAACCUUUGGGUUUGAAUCCACAUGCCAUCUGUGUCCCUCCUCUAUAUCAAUUGAGGGCCUAAGUACCAUCUCUUUGGGGUUGUAAGGAUUGAACGAGGUCACAGGAAUCUGUGUCUACUGAGGUGUGUGCUGAAACUCAGCAGCUCCUUUCUCCUAUUCUGUCCUUGCCCCUACCCCCACCCCACCUUUGACCUCUAGGGGAUGGGUUUCCAACAUAGGAGAUGCCAAGAAUGAGCCAUGUAAAGCCAUCCCAGUCACCUGGCUGCUGCAUAGUGUCAUUCACAUGAGCGCAUCUAGUAACCAAGGUGGGAUUUUGCUACGUUGCCCAGGCUGGUCUUGAACUCUUGGGCCCAAGCAAACCCUGCACCUGAGCCUGCUGAGUAAGGUAGGAUCCUACAACAGGAGAGCAACACAGCCGCGGAUGGCUUAGACCUGUCCCCUUACGCCUGGAGCCAAGAGAGGGCGGGCCCAGCUCCCCAGAACAGGAUCCUUGCAAAGGAGUGAGCUGAGGAGCUUGUACCGGCAAGGAGGAAGAAGGGGCCUCUGUAAGAGACUGGUGGGAGCCAACUGUGCGUGCCUGCUUGACGCUGCCCUGCAUGUCGCUUCCUCGCGGCCCCUGGCACCCUCUUGGCCCUCAGUGGGAGCGUCGCUCGUCUCCAAAAAUCUUAGCGUACUUACUCUUGUGUUUAGCACACCUUUAUCAGGUGACACAGUCCUUUCCUAUCCCUCUUUCAUAAGAGCUUUUUAAAAUUAUCAAUAGAUAUUGAACCUGAUCAUCCUGUCUGUGCCCACCAAAGGGCGUCCUCGAGAUGGUGGUGUUCCCGCCCCUCUUUGCCCACGUGGUGAACAGCACUGAUUUUUCUGAUCUUUUUUUUUUUAAGACUAGUCAAGUGCAGUAGUGAGGAGGGGGGAAAGAAUUUUUCUGAUCUUGAACAAGCACUGUUUGGUUUCCAUGUAUCUUUUUUUUUUUUCUUGGUACCUCUUUGGAUUUGGUUAGCUGAUAAUUUACUUUGGAGUUCUGCAUCCAAGUUUUUAAUUGAAACUGGCCAAAUAAAGGCAGAUUUUGAAAGGAGAGAUUUAGGUAGUCUUACUAAACAGUGAGACAGCUUGUCUUUCCCCUAUUUGCUUUUCAGAUCUCCCCAUGCGCCUUACAGUGGUAGUUGGCGUAAAUGCUAAAUCAUAUUGCGCUUUCCACCAGACACUAUAGCUCUAUGCAGGCCACAUAAUAUUCAAAUACAUCAUUUUAUUUAUUUA